AUUGAACGCUGGCGGCAGGCCUAACACAUGCAAGUCGAACGAGUGGCGGACGGGUGAGUAAUGCUUGGGAAUCUACCUUAUGGAGGGGGAUAACUACGGGAAACUGUAGCUAAUACCGCGUACCAUAGGAUGAGCCCAAGUGGGAUUAGGUAGUUGGUGAGGUAAAGGCUCACCAAGCCGACGAUCUCUAGCUGGUCUGAGAGGAUGACCAGCCAAACUGGAACGGAGACACGGCCCAGACUCCUACGGGAGGCAGCAGUGGGGAAUAUUGCGCAAUGGGGGCAAGCCUGAUGCAGCCAUGCCGCGUGAAUGAAGAAGGCCUUAGGGUUGUAAAGUACUUUCGGUAGGGAGGCGUUAACUGCAGAAGAAGCACCGGCUAACUCCGUGCCAGCAGCCGCGGUAAUAC
rnacentral:rRNA from 1 species